rnacentral:lncRNA from 1 species
AGAACAUAUUAUUUUAGUAUUUAUUCAUGAAGGAAAACACAUAAUUUAUGUCAUGAUUAACUAUUAUGUGAUAUCUAAUCAUAUUCUUUAAAACUAAUUGUAUUUUCUCUCGCUUUAUUUCGUAGUUAAUCAAAUGACAAAUAUCACAAAACUUGAGUUUGCUGCAUUUGACAUCUCUGACAAAAACUAUCUAUCAUGGGUACUUGACGCUGAUAUCCAUCUUGUCUGAAAAGGUUUGAGAGAGACAAUAAAAGAAGAAAACAAAGAAUCCUUGCAGGAUCGUGCAAAAGUACUCAUCUUUUUUCGUCAUCAUCUUCAUAAUGGACUGGAAAUUGAAUAUCUCACUUAAAAAGAUCCACAGGUUCUUUGAAAAAAAUUAACUGGAAUAUUUGAUCAUCAAAGGACUAUAGUCCUCCCCAAAGCCCGCUAUGAGUGGAUGCACCUUCGUUUGUAAGACUUCAAAACUUUAGUGAGUACAAUUCUGAAUUGUUCAGAAUAUGUUCAAAAUUGACAUUGUGUGGAAAAAACACUGAUGAAGACAUGUUAAAGAAAAAAUUACCUUUCACGCCUCGAAUGUGCUCCUAGAGCAGCAAUAUCGCGAGCUUGAUUUCAAAAAAUACUCAAAACUUAUAUCUUGUCUACCUGUUGUUGAACAGAAUAAUGAACUGUUGAUGAAAAAUCAUGGGUUACGUCCAACUGGUUCUGUACCAUUGCCUGAAACAAAUGAUAUUGCAUUGUCUGAAGCAAAUGUAAUAUGAAGACAAAGACAUGGACGUGGACGUGGAUUUCGACGUGCACGCGGAGUAAACCAUGGACGAAAUAAUCAACAAAGUUAUCAACAAUAAGACAACAAUUUCAAAAGGCACAAAGUAAAUAAAAGUAGCAUAUAGAAAAAGGUACACGAAGAAAGUUGUUUUAGAUGUGGAAUGAAAGGGCAUUGGACACGUACUUGUCGUACAGAAAAAACACCUUGUGGAUCUCUACCAAAAAUCAAUUAAGAGAAAAGUAGAGACAAAUUUUGCUGAUUAUGAUGGUCCAAUUUAUGUGACUCAUUUGGAUGUCUCCGAUUUCUUUGCUAAUCCAAAUGGGAAUAUUGACCAUUUGAUUGGGGGUGGUACGAUAGAAGAUAUAAAUUAAAUUUUUUUCAUGCUAGUAUUUCCCUUUUAGAAAUUUAGUUUGAAAUAUAUUUUUACUUUUCGCAAAACUUUUGAGAUUUAUUAUGCAUCGUUAAUUUCAC